rnacentral:rRNA from 1 species
GACGAACGCUGGCGGCGUGCUUAACACAUGCAAGUCGAACGGAAAGGCCUGCUUUCCCUUGUGGAUUGCGGGUACUCGAGUGGCGAACGGGUGAGUAACACGUGAGUGAUCUGCCCCCAACUUGGGUAUAAGCCUGGGAAACUGGGUCUAAUUCCCGAUAGGACUGCAGGGUGGUGCCUGUGGUGGAAAACGAUUUUCUAGUGGUUGGGGAUGAGCUCGCGGCCUAUCAGCUUGUUGGUGGGGUAAUGGCCUACCAAGGCGGCGACGGGUAGCCGGCCUGGGAGGGUGGACGGCCACAUUGGGACUGAGAUACGCCCCAGACUCCUACGGGAGGCAGCAGUGGGGAAUAUUGCACAAUGGGCGGAAGCCUGAUGCAGCGACGCCGCGUGGGGGAUGACGGCCUUCGGGUUGUAAACUCCUUUCGACCGCGAGGAAGCCACCUGGUUGGAAGGGUGGCGACGGUAGUGGUAGAAGAAGCACCGGCUAACUACGUG